rnacentral:rRNA from 1 species
UACAGAGGGGGCAAGCGUUAUUCGGAAUUAUUGGGCGUAAAGGGCGCGUAGGCGGCCUGGCAAGUGGAAGGUGAAAUCCCUCAGCUUAACCGAGGAACUGCCCUCCAAACUGCUUGGCUUGAGUCCGGGAGAGGUGAGUGGAAUUCCCAGUGUAGCGGUGAAAUGCGUAGAUAUUGGGAGGAACACCAGUGGCGAAGGCGGCUCACUGGACCGGAACUGACGCUGAGGCGCGAAAGCGUGGGGAGCAAACAGG